rnacentral:rRNA from 1 species
AUGGCUCAGGACGAACGCUGGCGGCGUGCCUAAUACAUGCAAGUUGAACGCUUGAUUUUCACCGAAGCUUGCUUCACCGAAAAUCAAGAGUAGCGAACGGGUGAGUAACGCGUGGGUAACCUACCUUUCAGCGGGGGAUAACUAUUGGAAACGAUAGCUAAUACCGCAUAACAAUGUUGGAUGCAUAUUCGACAUUUGAAAGUACCAAUUGGUACACUGAGAGAUGGACCCGCGUUGUAUUAGCUAGUUGGUAGUGUAAUGGACUACCAAGGCGAUGAUACAUAGCCGACCUGAGAGGGUGAUCGGCCACAUUGGGACUGAGACACGGCCCAAACUCCUACGGGAGGCAGCAGUAGGGAAUCUUCGACAAUGGACGAAAGUCUGACCGAGCAACGCCGCGUGAGUGAAGAAGGUUUUCGGAUCGUAAAACUCUGUUGUUAGAGAAGAACGUUGCAUAGAGUGGAAAAUUAUGCAAGUGACGGUAUCUAACCAGAAAGGGACGGCUAACUACGUGCCAGCAGCCGCGGUAAUACGUAGGUCCCGAGCGUUGUCCGGAUUUAUUGGGCGUAAAGCGAGCGCAGACGGUUGAUUAAGUCUGAUGUGAAAGCCCGGAGCUCAACUCCGGAAUGGCAUUGGAAACUGGUUAACUUGAGUGUUGUAGAGGUAAGUGGAACUCCAUGUGUAGCGGUGGAAUGCGUAGAUAUAUGGAAGAACACCAGUGGCGAAGGCGGCUUACUGGACAACAACUGACG